rnacentral:misc_RNA from 1 species
UCUCCGUAGGUGAACCUGCGGAGGGAUCAUUACCGAGUGAGGGUUCCGGCCCGACCUCCAACCCCGUAACUACCUUACCAUCCGUUGCCUCGGCGGGCCGCCGACGCCCUCUGGGCGUCGCCGUCGGCCCCCCGCGCCCUCGAGCGCCCGCCGCAGGACCAACCACAAACCCCUCGCGAACCCAGCGGACUGAAACGAAAUUAAAUACUUCAAAACUUUCAACGACGGAUCUCUUGGUUCUGGCAUCGAUGAAGAACGCAGC